CCGUCUCCUGCCUCGCUCGAUCAGCUCCGCCAUCCCCACUGCUGAUCUUGAGCUGGAUACGCAAGGCUGGGCUCUGCUUAGCCUCACGUACUAGACAAGAACGAAUCCGACGGUGUUUUUUGAGUACGGGACCUUAGCUUGUAAAGUGAAGGCUUCCCGUAAUUUAUCUGCCGUUACAUAU
rnacentral:snoRNA from 1 species